AUUGAACGCUAGCGGGAUGCUUUACACAUGCAAGUCGAACGAGUGGCGGACGGGUGAGUAAUAUAUAGGAACGUGCCCAGUAGCGGGGGAUAACUACCCGAAAGAGUGGCUAAUACCGCAUACUCUUGGAGCGGCCGAUAUCGGAUUAGCUAGUUGGUGGGGUAAAGGCUCACCAAGGCAACGAUCCGUAGCUGGUGUGAGAGGACGACCAGCCACACUGAGACUGAGACGAGGCCCAGACUACUCCGGGAUGCAGCAGUGGAGAGUGUUGGACAAGGGGGGGAACGCUGGUCCAGCCAUCCCGCGUGUAUGAGAAGGCCUUCGGGUUGUAAAGUACUUUUGGCAGAGAAGCGGUAUCUGCAGAAUAAGCACCGGCUAACUACGUGCCAGCAGCCGCGGUAAUAC
rnacentral:rRNA from 1 species